AUACUGGGUGCACACAUUAAGGGUGUGCACCACCACUGCCCACUGUCAAAUUUAAUUUUUUAAAAUUAAAUACCUAAGCUGGGCAAAAUGUAUACUGACUUGGUUGCUGGAAAAAGAAUGAAGGAACUUUAUAAAAAGUAAUAGUAGAUUAUAGAAAUAAAAUGAUUCUGAUUUUAGAGUCUGUAGAAAACAAAAUCAGCUGUGGAUUUGCUCAGUGCUUCUUGUUUUAGUUAAUAGUUUUACAUUUCAUGCAUUUGAGUGUUUUGCAUGUACACAUGUGCAAUCCAUCCCAUACCUAGUGCCCAUGGAGGUCAGAAGAGGUAUCAGAACUGGAACUGGCCGAGUGUGUGCUGGGAAGUAAAUCCUGGUUCUCUGUAAGAGCCACAAGUGCUCUUAAUCUCUGAGUUAUCUCUUCAGUCCUGAUAUUUUUAAUUAGUGUUUGUUUUGUGUAAUGGUGCCCUCCAAUACAGUAGGUGAAAGGAGCCGAUUUGCAUGUGCGUGUAUGGAGGUAGUUGAAGGGGUGGGUAUUUGCGUGUGCAUGUAUGGAGGUAGUUGAAGUAGGUGGGUAUUUGUCUACCACCAUCUGGUGGCUAAAAAAACAAUGAUUUUUACAUUUUUAUUUUUAUGCAAAUGAGUGUUUUGCCUGUAUGCACUCUCUGCACCAUGUGAGUGCCUGCCUGGUGCCCCUCGAGGCCAUAAGAGCACUGGAGUCUCAGACAGUUGUGAGCCGCUACAUGGGUGCUGGGAAUUAAACCAGGGUCCUCUGGAAGAGCAGUCAGUGAUCUUAACCUCUGAGUUAUCUCUCCAGCCCACAAUCUUAGCCACUGAGUCAUCUCUCCAGACUCAGCUCACAGCAUCCGUACACAUAGAGGAAAACAAACGAAAAUGCUGGAAGUUGGGAUGUCACCCCUGUAAAACUACAAGGGCUGAACCACAAGUAAGGUAAGUGUGGAGUUCAGAAAUGGGAAAGUUCGGAGCCAGACGGGCAGUUUGCUUCACAGUUAAGGAAAGACUAUUAAGGAUUGGAUUUGGGGCCAGGUGUGGUGGUUUAAUUCCAGCACUCGGGAGGCAGAGGCAGAUCUCUGUCAAUUGAAGGCCAGGCUGGUUGACAGAGCGAGUUCCAGGACAGCCAAGUCUAUUCAGAGAAACUCUGUCUUGAAAAACAAAACAAAAAAAGGAACUGAGCUGGAAAACAGUUGAAUGACGUUUUAAGCAUACCAUACCGUUUAUAGUUCUCAUUUUUCAUUUGCUGACUGAAAAACUACUCAGAAAUUUAAAACAAAUUAUACUCAGGGUUUAACAAAUAACAUGAAAAUAUUGUGGAACAUAUUAAUUUUGUUAAACUUUGAUAUAUCAGAAAGUAUAUUUUAAUACAGAAUAAAUCAUGAAAUAUGAUGCAAUUUUAAUAUGUCAUUUUGUUUGCCUAAACAAAAGAUACUAGUUUUGUCGGAAAUCUAAUUCCUUAAAGUAAUGUUAGAAUUUUAAGAUUAUUCAAUAUUAUUCUUUACCACUUCUCAGUCAGAUCACAGGCAAAGAGGACAUGGAAAUUUGUUUGAAAAACAAAUUUAUGGACUGUUAGGACCUCCUAAGAAUAGGCACACAGAAUAAAUUAUGUCUGGUUCCCAUGAUCCGGCUCCACUUCUGAAAUGUAAGAGGAUUGCUGACUUCCAUCAAGCUGUAUUCUAAAGUCAGUCCCUUGCCUUGUGAGACAUACUAUGUCUAAGAAAAGUAUUCCAAAACUGUGUGCCUCACCCCUCCUAGAGUGGAAAAAGGUAGUCUCACUUACUUGCGGCUUUGCAGAGUGUCCCCUCCACAGAAGAAAUUUCACAGUUUCCUUUUUUCCAUUCGCCUGUCUUGGUAUACAGGAAACCGCAGGUGUCAACUAGGUCCUCGCCAUCUUGAUCUGCCCACUUGUCAAAGGUCAUAUUCGAGUUAUCAAACCACUUGAAACUUGCAUC